rnacentral:rRNA from 1 species
UGCCGCGUGUAUGAAGAAGGCCUUCGGGUUGUAAAGUACUUUCAGCAGUGAGGAAAGGUGGUAGUGUUAAUAGCACUGUCAUUUGACGUUAGCUGCAGAAGAAGCACCGCGCUAACUCCGGUGCCAGCGAGCCGCGGUAAUCACGCGAGGGUGCGAGCGUUAAUCGGAAUUACUGGCGCGAUAAAGCCGCAUGCANGUGGUUUGUUAAGGUCAGAUGUGAAAGCCCGGGGCUCAAGCCGUCGCGAAUUGCAUUUGAAGACUGGCAGACUAGAGUACUGUAGAGGGGGGUAGAAUUUCAGGUGUAGCGGUGAAAUGCGUAGAGAUCUGAAGGAAUACCGGUGGCGAAGGCGGCCCCCUGGACAGAUACUGACACUCAGAUGCGAAAGCGUGGGGAGCAAACAGGAUUAGAUACCCUGGUAGUCCACGCCGUAAACGAUGUCUACUUGGAGGUUGUGGCCUUGAGCCGUGGCUUUCGGAGCUAACGCGUUAAGUAGACCGCCUGGGGAGUACCGUCGCAAGAUCUCNCAACUCAAUGAAUUGACGGGGGCCCGCACAAGCGGUGGAGCAUGUGGUUUAAUUCGAUGCAACGCGAAGAACCUUACUACUCUUGACAUCCAUAGAACUUUCCAGAGAUGGAUUGGUGCCUUCGGGAACUAUGAGACAGGUGCUGCAUGGCUGUCGUCAGCUCGUGUUGUGAAAUGUUGGGUUAAGUCCCGCAACGAGCGCAACCCUUAUCCUUGUUUGCCAGCGAGUAAUGUCGGGAACUCCAGGGAGACUGCCGGUGAUAAACCGGAGGAAGGUGGGGACGACGUCAAGUCAUCAUGGCCCUUACGAGUAGGGCUACACACGUGCUACAAUGGCGCAUACAGAGGGCGGCCAACUUGCGAAAGUGAGCGAAUCCCAAAAAGUGCGUCGUAUCCGGAUUGGAGUCUGCAACUCGACUCCAUGAAGUCGGAAUCGCUAGUAAUCGUAGAUCAGAAUGCUACGGUGAAUACGUUCCCGGGCCUUGUACACACCGCCCGUCACACCAUGGGAGUGGGCUGCAAAAGAAGUGGGUAGUUUAACCUUCGGGGGGACGCUCACCACUUUGUGGUUCAUGACUGGGGUGAAGUCG